rnacentral:tRNA from 1 species
CGUAGCUCAGCUGGUAGAGCAAUUGACUCUUAAUCAAUGGGUCCAGGGUUCGAGUCCCUGC